rnacentral:rRNA from 1 species
GCCGAUCAGGUUGUUGGUGAGGUAAUGGCCCACCAAACCUUUUACCGGUACGGGCUCUGAGAGGAGGAGCCCGGAGAUGGGCACUGAGACAAGGGCCCAGGCCCUAUGGGGCGCAGCAGGCGCGAAACCUCUGCAAUAGGCGAAAGCCUGACAGGGUUACUCUGAGUGAUUCCCGCUAAGGGAAUCUUUUGGCAUCUCUAAAGAUGGUGCAGAAUAAGGGGUGGGCAAGUCUGGUGUCAGCCGCCGCGGUAAUACCAGCACCCCGAGUGGUCGGGACGAUUAUUGGGCCUAAAGCAUCCGUAGCCGGUCUUGCAAGUCUUCCGUUAAAUCCAGCUGCUUAACAGAUGGGCUGCGGAGGAUACUACAAGGCUAGGAGGCGGGAGAGGCAAGCGGUACUCAGUGGGUAGGGGUAAAAUCCGUUGAUCCAUUGAAGACCACCAGUGGCGAAGGCGGCUUGCCAGAAUGCGCUCGACGGUGAGGGAUGAAAGCUGGGGGAGCAAACCGGAUUAGAUACCCGGGUAGUCCCAGCUGUAAACGAUGCAGACUCGGUGAUGGACUAGCUUCAUGCUAGUCCAGUGCCGCAGGGAAGCCGUUAAGUCUGCCGCCUGGGUAGUACGGUCGUAAGACUGAAACUUAA